rnacentral:lncRNA from 1 species
UUGGUUCGACGGACUUCAAACCUAUAUGAGGUACAUUUGUCAUAAAAGCUGGUUGGGCGGGUGGUUCAUGCCUCAGAAGAAGAGCUACUUUGCUAUGCAGCUACCGCAGAGAUGGUGGAUAUUUGGUCUUGAUUUAGCUCUGCACGGUGAUAUUGAUGUUUAUCAGUUCAAGUUCUUCUCUGAAUUGGUUAUGGACAAGGUUCCUCUCCUAAUGUUUUUGUUUAACAAAUGUUAUAUACUAUUCUUGUUUUUAAACAUUUUCCUUACAUGAUGCAAUACCUUUUUUAUUUCAUAUGCAUUAUGUUUAGUUUAAUAUUAUCGAGUUCGUGAAUUAAGUAUCUCUAUCUGGGUGCAAAUUAAGCAUCAGAAAAGAAAGUGUCAUCUUUGGUGUGUUUACUUUCCCUUUACGCAAUGAGCUUUUCUUCCAGGUUGGAGAGAAUGAUUCCGUGAUAAUUGUGACACAUGAACCUGGUUGGCUUCUUGAUUGGUACUGGGAUGAUGUGAGCGGGAAAAAUGUUUCACACCUGAUAUGUGACUAUUUGAAGGGUAGGUGUAAACUCCGGAUGGCUGGAGACUUGCAUCAUUUUAUGCGACACUCAUAUGUUCCAUCUGAUAAACCAGCUCAUGUGCAACAUUUACUUGUCAAUGGUUCUGGUGGAGCUUUUUUGCAUCCUACUCAUGUAUUCAGUAGUUUCAAUAAAUUAUAUGGAACUUCGUAUAAGUUUGAAGCAGCCUAUCCUUCUUGUGAAGAUUCAAGUAGGGUAUGUUACUAAAUUUUACUGCCGGAUACUUUCUUAAUUUCUAUUUCUAAUGUAAUCAAGUGAUGUUUAAGGGGCUUAUAUAUUAUUUGUUGCAGAUUGCACUGGGAAACAUAUUGAAAUUCCGAAAGAAAAAUUGGCAGUUUGAUUUCAUUGGUGGUAUCAUAUACUUUGUCUUAGCGUUUUCUAUGUUCCCACAGGCGAGUUACUUAACUUUGUUACAACAAAUAUUUUGAUCUUGCUUCAGACAAUUAGGAUGUUCUUUAUGCUUGCAAACUUUACAUGAAAUUUCACAUCGUUUAUUUCCUCGAAAUAAAGGACACCAUUUUCAAAGUUAUAGUCUUUUCAAGAUUAGCUUUUUCGUUUUCUCUUUUUUUUCCCUGAUGACAUUCUAUAUACUCCUUUUAGUGCAAGCUGGACCAUCUCUUCAAGGAUGAUACAUUUUCUGGUCAUCUCAAGAGCUUCUUUAGUACUGUGUGGGAUGCUUUUAUGUACAUGCUUGGACAGUCUUAUGUAUCUUUAGCUGGUACCUUGUUAUUGUUAGCAGCUGCUAUCGCAUUUGUACCUUCUAAAGUUUCUCGAAAAAGAAGGGCAAUAGUUGGAUUUCUUCAUGUUUCUGCACACUUGGCUGCAGCAAUAAUUCUCAUGAUGCUUUUAGAAGUUGGUGUUGAAACAUGUAUCAGGCAUAAACUAUUGGGAACAUCAGGUGCGCUUUAGUUUUAACUGAUUUCUUUUGAGUCAGAAAUCUUGUUUUCAUUAUCUACAACAUUAUUAUUUGAGCUUGUAUAUCUGCUGAAAUCAUGCUUCUUUACUGCAGCCAGGUUCUUGCUCUUCCAUGUCUUUUGUUGAAAUAUGGAUGUUAGCAUUGUGCAUUAAUAUUAUACAUAGUGAAGUCUUCUUCAUUCGUUUUUUUGUGCACAUGAAAUUAUAUUAUUAUUAAAGAUGAUAAUUUGAAUAAGGGAGGCCAUGACUAUGCCGCUAGGUUCAUAUUUUCUUUUCAUUCUUUUUGUUAUCUACUAUGGUUCUUAGUUUUGCCAUUCUUGGUUUUGUAUUACUUGUUUCACAGUCAUAUUCAUAAAAAUCCCAUGUUAGGAGGCCGUGGUUAUGUUUUUUUAUAAAUCGUCCUGAAUAUCUUUGUAAAGGGAAGUUAAUUGGUAAUUGGAUCUAGUUAUCUAGUCUCUGUGUUGGCAUAUACUUGUUUGAAUUUGUUCAAAACCAUGUCUAGUUUUUAUUUUGUUCGUAGACAUGUACUAAUAGUUAUGAUCUCAUUUCAGGUUAUCACACUUUAUAUGAAUGGUAUCGCACAGUUGAGAGUGAGCAUUUUCCAGACCCAACUGGCCUCCGUGCUCGUAUAGAACAGUGGACAUUUGGGCUGUAUCCAGCAUGUAUCAAGUAUCUUAUGUCUGCCUUUGAUGUUCCAGAGGUCCAAACUUCAUUUUAUAACUAUCUAUAUAAGGAUAUAUAUCCAGAAUUCUCAUUGUGUACUUGUUAUCUCUUGAAUCUACUAAAUUUGUGAGCACAAAUAGGUCAUGGCUGUCACAAGGAAUGAUAUGUGUAACAAUGGAUCCGAUUCAUUUUCCCGCGGUGGUGCUGUGAUAUAUUAUGCUUCCGUGUUCCUGUACUUUUGGUUCUUUACCACUCCUGUGGUUUCGUUGAUUUUUGGAAGCUAUUUGUACAUCUGUAUUAAUUGGUUGCAUCUGCACUUUGAUGAAGCCUUCUCUUCACUCCGUAUAGCCAAUUACAAAGCAUUUACACGCUUCCAUAUUAAGAAUAACGGCGAUCUUGAGGUUUUUACGCUUGCAGUUGACAAGGUAAAAAAAGCUCGCAUUAUAGUGCCUAUUUGUUUUUGAAGNAUGAAGCAUAAUGGGUCCUCUUUGAUUAUACAGAUUGGUUCGACGGACUUCAAACCUAUAUGAGGUACAUUUGUCAUAAAAGCUGGUUGGGCGGGUGGUUCAUGCCUCAGAAGAAGAGCUACUUUGCUAUGCAGCUACCGCAGAGAUGGUGGAUAUUUGGUCUUGAUUUAGCUCUGCACGGUGAUAUUGAUGUUUAUCAGUUCAAGUUCUUCUCUGAAUUGGUUAUGGACAAG